GUAUAUUUCUGUAUCUUAUCUCGGGAUCCAGACGUUUCGAAGGAGUAGGGGCGGCUGAAGUUGAUAAGAAAAAUGAAUGUCAGUGAAACAGAACAUCUACCAAGAUGCUAUAUUUAAAUCCCUUAUCAAGUUCAGCGGGUUGGACACUUCAUUUUAUUAACUUUCAAAUGGUGGAAUGGAAUACAGAACAAAGAAAAGAAGACAUCAGUGCUUGGAUUUAUAAAUUUGGAUUUCUGGACACGAAUGCUUGUGAAAAUUCCAGUAUUUGGCUUGGAUUAUGGAAUAUCAUUCCAGCACUUCUAAGGCUUGGUCCUCUAGCUGAUGGAAUAAACUUAAGGAAAGAUGAAUAUCUUGCAGAUAUACAAAAGUACAGAGAAGCAUAUGGUAUGGAGACCAAGU